CAGUAGCCGCGGGAAUACGUAGGUGGCAAGCGUUAUCCGGAAUUAUUGGGCGUAAAGCGCGCGUAGGCGGUUUUUUAAGUCUGAUGUGAAAGCCCACGGCUCAACCGUGGAGGGUCAUUGGAAACUGGAAAACUUGAGUGCAGAAGAGGAAAGUGGAAUUCCAUGUGUAGCGGUGAAAUGCGCAGAGAUAUGGAGGAACACCAGUGGCGAAGGCGACUUUCUGGUCUGUAACUGACGCUGAUGUGCGAAAGCGUGGGGAUCAAACAGGAUUAGAUACCCCAGUAGUCCCUGUCUCUUAUAC
rnacentral:rRNA from 1 species